ACGGGUGCGUAACGCGUGGGAAUCUGCCCUUGGGUGCGGAAUAACUUUCCGAAAGGAAUGCUAAUACCGCAUAAUGUCGUAAGACCAAAGAUUUAUCGCCCAAGGAUGAGCCCGCGUAAGAUUAGCUAGUUGGUGGGGUAAAAGCCUACCAAGGCGACGAUCUUUAGCUGGUCUGAGAGGAUGAUCAGCCACACUGGGACUGAGACACGGCCCAGACUCCUACGGGAGGCAGCAGUGGGGAAUAUUGGACAAUGGGCGAAAGCCUGAUCCAGCAAUGCCGCGUGAGUGAUGAAGGCCCUAGGGUUGUAAAGCUCUUUUACCCGGGAUGAUAAUGACAGUACCGGGAGAAUAAGCUCCGGCUAACUCCGUGCCAGCAGCCGCGGUAAUACGGAGGGAGCUAGCGUUGUUCGGAAUUACUGGGCGUAAAGCGCGCGUAGGCGGUUUUUUAAGUCAGAGGUGAAAGCCCGGGGCUCAACCCCGGAAUUGCCUUUGAAACUGGAAAACUUGAAUCUUGGAGAGGUCAGUGGAAUUCCGAGUGUAGAGGUGAAAUUCGUAGA
rnacentral:rRNA from 1 species